GGUUGAACCAACAUGUCAGUAUUAUCUAAUGAAAACGCCUCCGUGUAAUGUUCUGUGGUGAUCGGCGAGAGACCAGUGAUUAUUUCAGAAUUCUCCAUCUACGGAACCGGAUAAGACGAUCACGGUGUAAUAGCGAACACAUCAAUAUUACACUACUAGAAAAAGUGUUCAAAAUCUAAAGUUUGAACAUAAAAUAGUUAAAGUGUUCUGCAAAAUAGAGCGGUAAAUGAAAAACACGUGUCCGAGUAGAGCAAACGUUGAUACAAACGUGAAGAUAUGCGAGAUAUGGCUUAGUUGACGAUUUUAUUGAUGAACGACAUGAUAACUAUUGCGAUUCAAAGAUUCUUUAAGAACGGAAUUUAAUAAGCAAAGUAUUGAUUAAAAAUAAGAAUAUU